AUUGAACGCUGGCGGCAGGCCUAACACAUGCAAGUCGAGCGGAUGAGUGGAGCUUGCUCCAUGAUUCAGCGGCGGACGGGUGAGUAAUGCCUAGGAAUCUGCCUGGUAGUGGGGGACAACGUUUCGAAAGGAACGCUAAUACCGCAUACGUCCUACGGGAGCAAGCAGGGGACCUUCGGGCCUCGCUCUAUCAGAUGAGCCCAGGUCGGAUUAGCUAGUAGGUGAGGUAAAGGCUCACCUAGGCGACGAUCCGUAACUGGUCUGAGAGGAUGAUCAGUCACACUGGAACUGAGACACGGUCCAGACUCCUACGGGAGGCAGCAGUGGGGAAUAUUGGACAAUGGGCGAAAGCCUGAUCCAGCCAUGCCGCGUGUGUGAAGAAGGUCUUCGGAUUGUAAAGCACUUUAAGUUGGGAGGAAGGGCAGUAAGCUAAUACCUUGCUGUUUUGACGUUACCAACAGAAUAAGCACCGGCUAACUUCGUGCCAGCAGCCGCAGUAAAAC
rnacentral:rRNA from 1 species